UACAGACUUUUGGAUACACGAUGGGAGGGGGAGUGAGUGGUAUCUAUCAGUUCUAAACCAAUGAUCCUCCAUUUAGCUAUACGUGGCAUAUAGCUGUUAACUGGCACAAAGGUAGUGGGGGAGGAGUUAGUAAAGGGAGCUGUUAACACAGGAAUUUUGUUUACACAAGGUUUGCUUGAUUUGAAGGGGGAUGCUUAUCAGGAUGAAGAAUUUACAUAGUAAACAGCAACUGAACACAUUGUAGGGGGCGAAGGGAAUAUUUACUCUAGCAGCCAGUUUUAACAUAGUGAACACAGAAUAAAUAGACAUUAGUAAAUAGCCAUUUUAUUUUAAUUCAUCUGUCCAUAACAGUCCCCCCUUAAAAUGGCAAUUUUACUAAAACUACUAUCUCUCAUUCUAAUACUGUCCCUAUAGAAAAAUAACAAAAGGCUAUCUUGCACAUCUGUCUGAACAGGCCUCGAACACUUCACUGCGCGGGUACCCCAUAGCAGCUUGUCCACUACUUCUCCCGCGGCAGACUUCUGCCCGUAGAGACAGACGCUAUCCCUAAAUGUCCUUAAGAGGAAGUAGCUGUUGAUUUAGUGCGGUGGGACUGUAAGGGUGUAUGUGGUGUAUUACGGUCGAUAUCGUCAAUCUCUUGGUGAAGGAAGGUCGGGGUGGUCUGGUCGAUUGCCUGAUCAACUGUCUUUUGUAGGCAUUUCUUAAGACAGGGUAACACACAACAAACAAGAAGAGCGAGGAUGAUUAUCGUUAUUAAAAUGGCAACACCUAUUUGGGCCAGAGCACCUUGCCAUCCAGUCAUCCAUCCAAACCAUCUUUCCCAUGGAUCUGCGGCCCCAGAAUUUCGUUUCAGCUCAUUGGACAAACUCUUUAACUUUUCUAUUGCCAACGUUACCUUACCAUUAGGGCCUGUAUUAUCUGGAAUAUAGGUACAGCAUGUUAUGGUGUCUGGGAGUAUUUUACAUACUCUCCCUUUUUCUGCCAAAAUCAUUUUUAAGCUUAUUCUAUUCUGGAAGGUCAUCUGAGAGGUAGCUUGUAACCGCCCUAUCCCACCAUAUAUCCCAUAACAAGUAUAGUUCCCAGGAUAUAUAGUAAUGCCUUCGUUUGGGCAUAAUAUUUUUAGUAAUGAUUGGGUAUUAAGUUUCCAUGACUCGCAUGCUGACCGCUUAGGUUUAAAUACAGUGUAGAGACUUAAAACGCAUACUUCAUAUCCGGAGGAAGGUUCAGGGAUACUGUACCUGGGUGAGGCCUCGCUCCUCUGCAGACAUAGCAGUUAGACUUGUUAUGUUUAGUAGCAUUGUAUUUCAUCCAUUCAAGUCACAAGUUAGUGUCAGAGAAACCUGUCUCUACAGCCCUCUUAUCCUCAAAUAUGGGAUGACUACCAUGUCUUUUAAAGUCCUAAUGUGUGGUUUGAGGGGAUUAACAGUCAUGUGCGUGGCACCUACCCAUUCAGCUGAGUCAUACAUGUCCUGUAAGAAAAAGGUCUCCUGUUUAUUGUAUAAACCUCUUCCCUUCCAAUUCAGAUUUUAUUAGCCGUAAUGCUUGGA
rnacentral:lncRNA from 1 species